AAAUAUACUAAACAUACUGAACUGCACACUUUAAAUGGGAGAGUUUUAUGGGCUCGCAGUCAAAAUGAACAUUUGCUCAGUGGAUUCAUGACUAGCCUGUUUCAUCAGACGCCAUAUAUGCUGAGGUUAACCAAACUCGUGAGCAAGCAUAUACUUCAAACAAGAUGAGCAAACGACACACACAGCCAGCCACACCCGUGCACUCCUGAUUCAUGGAACCAAGAGGACAAGAAGGGGCUUCUGAGGCCAAUCCAAAGGAAGCAGGAGAUGGAGAGAAAGAAGAGGGAAAGAAGAAGAGAGGCAGACAAAGAGAAAGAGACAGAGACAGAGAGAGACAGACAAACAGAGAUACAGAGAGACCGAACCAGACAGAGAUGGAGAGCGAGGCGAGCCCGGGCGACAACAGGGCUGGGGAGCUUUCCUCAGUGGUGUUCUUCAGGUGCAGAGUUUGAAUAAAAAUGCAAAACAGGAUGCUCCCAUUC
rnacentral:lncRNA from 1 species